UGCAGUCGYACGAUGAUGCCCAGCUUGCUGGGUUGAUUAGUGGCGAACGGGUGAGUAACACGUGAGUAACCUGCCCCUGACUCUGGGAUAAGCGUUGGAAACGACGUCUAAUACUGGAUAUGAUCGCCGGCCGCAUGGUCUGGUGGUGGAAAGAUUUUUUGGUUGGGGAUGGACUCGCGGCCUAUCAGCUUGUUGGUGAGGUAAUGGCUCACCAAGGCGACGACGGGUAGCCGGCCUGAGAGGGUGACCGGCCACACUGGGACUGAGACACGGCCCAGACUCCUACGGGAGGCAGCAGUGGGGAAUAUUGCACAAUGGGCGAAAGCCUGAUGCAGCAACGCCGCGUGAGGGAUGACGGCCUUCGGGUUGUAAACCUCUUUUAGUAGGGAAGAAGCGAAAGUGACGGUACCUGCAGAAAAAGCACCGGCUAACUACGUGCCAGCAGCCGCGGUAAUACGUAGGGUGCAAGCGUUGUCCGGAAUUAUUGGGCGUAAAGAGCUCGUAGGCGGUUUGUCGCGUCUGCUGUGAAAUCCCGAGGCUCAACCUCGGGCUUGCAGUGGGUACGGGCAGACUAGAGUGCGGUAGGGGAGAUUGGAAUUCCUGGUGUAGCGGUGGAAUGCGCAGAUAUCAGGAGGAACACCGAUGGCGAAGGCAGAUCUCUGGGCCGUAACUGACGCUGAGGAGCGAAAGCAUGGGGAGCGAACAGGAUUAGAUACCCUGGUAGUCCAUGCCGUAAACGUUGGGCGCUAGAUGUAGGGACCUUUCCACGGUUUCUGUGUCGUAGCUAACGCAUUAAGCGUCCCGCCUGGGGAGUACGGCCGCAAGGCUAAAACUCAAAGGAAUUGACGGGGGGCCCGCACAAGCGGCGGAGCAUGCGGAUUAAUUCGAUGCAACGCGAGAACCUUACCAAGGCUUGACAUACACCGGAAAC
rnacentral:rRNA from 1 species